AUUGAACGCUGGCGGCAGGCCUAACACAUGCAAGUCGAGCGGCAGCGGGAAAGUAGCUUGCUACUUUUGCCGGCGAGCGGCGGACGGGUGAGUAAUGCCUGGGGAUCUGCCCAGUCGAGGGGGAUAACUACUGGAAACGGUAGCUAAUACCGCAUACGCCCUACGGGGGAAAGCAGGGGACCUUCGGGCCUUGCGCGAUUGGAUGAACCCAGGUGGGAUUAGCUAGUUGGUGAGGUAACGGCUCACCAAGGCGACGAUCCCUAGCUGGUCUGAGAGGAUGAUCAGCCACACUGGAACUGAGACACGGUCCAGACUCCUACGGGAGGCAGCAGUGGGGAAUAUUGCACAAUGGGGGAAACCCUGAUGCAGCCAUGCCGCGUGUGUGAAGAAGGCCUUUGGGUUGUAAAGCACUCUCAGCGAGGAGGAAAGGUCAGUAGCUAAUAUCUGCUGGCUGUGACGUUACUCGCAGAAGAAGCACCGGCUAACUCCGUGCCAGCCGCCGCGGUAA
rnacentral:rRNA from 1 species